GACCUGACUGACUGACCUGACCGACCUGACCGACUGACUGACAUGACCGACUGACUGACCUGACCGACUGACUGACCUGACCGACUGACUGACCUGACCGACUGACUGACCUGACCGACUGACCUGACCGACUGACCUGACCGACUGACUGACCUGACCGACUGACUGACCUGACCGACCUGACCGACUGACUGACCUGACCGACUGACCUGACCGACUGACUGACCUGACCGACUGACUUACCUGACCGACUGACCUGACCGACUGACUGACCUGACCGACUGACUGACCUGACCGACUGACUGACCUGACCGACUGACCUGACCGACUGACUGACAUGACCGACUGACUGACCUGACCGACUGACUGACCUGACCGACUGACUGACCUUACCGACGCACCUGACCGACGGACCUGACCGACUGACCAGACCGACUGACCUGACCGACUGACCAGACCGACUGACUGACCUGACCGACUGACCUGACCAACUCGGACUGACCUGACCGUGUGGCUUUGUAUACUUGGUGACCAUUUUCAGACUGACCUGACCGAUUCGGACUGCAUCCCCAGAGUUAAACCUGCAGUUGACGCUGUUGGCCUGUCGAACUCCUCCAACACCAACGUUGACACCAUCGAUGAGUCGGUACAACCUGCCAGGAUUUGCUGUCAUCCAGAACCUUGCGGCAUACCCGUUUUCAUUAGUGGAUGGGAAUCUUACGCUCGCGUCUCAACAGUCUGACACAUUGUUCAAUUGUGGGAUGCACUGUCGACCCAUGACAAGCGGCGUACUGGAUUUCAAGAGCGGUACAGUCCUGGCCAGUGCAACAAAUUUUUAGCUCCCAACACUCUCAAACAUCCUGGUGUACAGUCUUUGGAAUGUAGUAUCAGAGCACCAGACUCCAUACCUGCUGCUAAGCCAGACUGAAAUAGGUAUGUUAAGGCAGGUUUCCAAGCUCCACCAAGCAGUAAGGCCGGAAUGUGACCAGAUGGAGUAGAAGAUCCAGACCACGAUUCUACAAAAUGGCACUGUCAUGGCAGAAACCAAAAUCCAACUGCCAUUCCAUAAUAACUGGACUAUGCAGACAUGGCACAACAACAAGGUACGCAGUGACAACACCAGGAUGUUGGAACAAGGGCUGCAUCUGCCAGAUGCACCGCUGGCUUCAACUUCAGCACUGCUUCCACAAAGAACUCGAGCAGUUUUUGAGAGUGCUUCUUCGUGCCCGCAUACGAUUUCCAUGCCACCGGACACAGCAGGUAGUGCGCCACCGAAGAUGAGGAAAUCGUCCGAGAGACAUUGCAAGAGAUGUGGCCAGGUCAUCACAAAAGACAACCAUGAGAGUUUGUGGGGUGCAUUGUAUUGUCCCUCAACAUCUGAAGAAACAGAAGAACAGUUUUGACACUAAAAAGAGAUAAGACAACUUAAUGGAGCACUAGAGUGGAUGAGAGGUCGUUGUCAUAAGUGACUGCGGUUGCCCCCCCCCCCAUAUCCGCAUUUUUACCAAUAACUCAAGGACAGCCCUGCUAGUUCAAUAUAGUUUCAGAGGAGAGAUCAUGACAACAACAAGAGCAUCUGUGAAAUCGUCCCGUGCUAGAGACUCUACACCUUCAACUUCAAUUUCAACGUUUAAUCACCCACUUUUCCCAUUUGCUACCCUUGUAGGGUGCUAGAGCUCCUGUAAGUUGUGUGCCAACCGGGUCAUUCCCUUAAAUUGUUGGUGAACGGAGCAGCUUAAGGGCACCUGCCUGCCCUACUGGGUAGUGAUGGACAUCUCAGUGGGUCAGAAAAAUGUAAUUGUAGGUCGCAAGAUUUUUCCUAACAUCUAGAAUGGAAACAUGAACAAUUUUCCAGAAGCUCUAGAAUUAACCGGAUAUGACCAAAUAAAUUCAAUUGCAUGAGGGUUUCGUGUACAAGCCAUCCAGUCUGUGACGGAAGAAAGGAUCCAUCCGUGUAAUUGAGGAGCCACAGAUGAUGCCCUCUUGCAGCCCGAAAUGGGAUGUUUUAUUUAGAAUGAUAACUUAAAUAUUUUAUAAACUAAGCCCAGUACAGAGCUGCCAAAUUGUUAUCAGUUAUCAGCUCACAAAUUAAAGCAUUGUGAAAAUUGGGGAAAUCUUACCAUUUACUAUCAUAUUGUGGAUUUGUAAUAGCUCUGGUAAAAUCCAAGGAAAUAACUGUUUCCUUGGAAGGUGUAUUUGUGAAUCAAAAUUAUUUAAUCUCUUUCUUCAUAAGGCUGGGAAAGGAUGGCUGUGUGGGGAGAAGGGAGGCCAUUUCAUGCCUGCGUAGUAAGUUUUAUAGAAGAGUUGUAUAUUUCAAUAAGGAAAAAUUUGUACCUCUCUGCUAUGAAUAAAAGUAGACAAGCAGACCUUCAAGUCUACAUAUUCCAUUUUAAUCCAGCGUUGAAAUUGGCAACUUUAAAAUAGUGUGCUGUGAUUCAGUGAUGUAUACUUACCUUGAAUCAAUCUCUUUCUUCAUAAGGUUGGGAAAGGAUGGCUGUAUGGGGAGAAGGGAGGCCAUUUCAUGCCUGUGUAAUAAGUUUUUAUAGAAGAUUGUUAUGUAUUUCAAUAAGCAGAAAUUUGUACCUCUCUGCUAUGAAUAAAAUGUUAAUCAUAUUGUAAAUUUGUGCGGGUCGCACGAUUGUUGCUUGAAGCAGGCAAAUUU